AACGAACGCUGGCGGCAGGCUUAACACAUGCAAGUCGAACGCCCCGCAAGGGGAGUGGCAGACGGGUGAGUAACGCGUGGGAACAUACCCUUUUCUACGGAAUAGCUCUGGGAAACUGGAAUUAAUACCGUAUACGCCCUACGGGGGAAAGAUUUAUCGGGGAAGGAUUGGCCCGCGUUGGAUUAGCUAGUUGGUGGGGUAAAGGCCUACCAAGGCGACGAUCCAUAGCUGGUCUGAGAGGAUGAUCAGCCACAUUGGGACUGAGACACGGCCCAAACUCCUACGGGAGGCAGCAGUGGGGAAUAUUGGACAAUGGGCGCAAGCCUGAUCCAGCCAUGCCGCGUGAGUGAUGAAGGCCUUAGGGUCGUAAAGCUCUUUCACCGAUGAAGAUAAUGACGGUAGUCGGAGAAGAAGCCCCGGCUAACUUCGUG
rnacentral:rRNA from 1 species